rnacentral:rRNA from 1 species
UGCCCCAGUAACGGCGAGUGAAGCGGCAACAGCUCAAAUUUGAAAUCUGGUCCCUAGGGCCCGAGUUGUAAUUUGUAGAGGAUGCUUUUGGUGAGGUGCCGCCCGAGUUCCCUGGAACGGGACGCCACAGAGGGUGAGAGCCCCGUCUGGCUGGCCGCCGAGCCUCUGUAAAGCUCCUUCGACGAGUCGAGUAGUUUGGGAAUGCUGCUCAAAAUGGGAGGUAUAUGUCUUCUAAAGCUAAAUAUUGGCCAGAGACCGAUAGCGCACAAGUAGAGUGAUCGAAAGAUGAAAAGCACCUUGAAAAGAGGGUUAAAUAGUACGUGAAAUUGUUGAAAGGGAAGCGCUUGUGACCAGACUUGGGCGCGGCGGAUCAUCCGGGGUUCUCUCCGGUGCACUUCGCCGCGUCUAGGCCAGCAUCAGUUCGUCGCGGGGGAAAAAGGCUUCGGGAACGUGGCUCCUCCGGGAGUGUUAUAGCCCGUUGCAUAAUACCCUGCGGUGGACUGAGGACCGCGCAUCUGCAAGGAUGCUGGCGUAAUGGUCACCAGCGACCCGUCUUGAAACACGGACCAAGGAGUCGUCUUCGUAUGCGAGUGUUCGGGUGUCAAACCCCUACGCGUAAUGAAAGUGAACGCAGGUGAGAGCUUCGGCGCAUCAUCGACCGAUCCUGAUGUUCUCGGAUGGAUUUGAGUAAGAGCAUACGGGGCCGGACCCGAAAGAAGGUGAACUAUGCCUGUAUAGGGUGAAGCCAGAGGAAACUCUGGUGGAGGCUCGCAGCGGUUCUGACGUGCAAAUCGAUCGUCAAAUAUGGGCAUGGGGGCGAAAGACUAAUCGAACCUUCUAGUAGCUGGUUUCCGCCGAAGUUUCCCUCAGGAUAGCAGUGUUGAGCUCAGUUUUAUGAGGUAAAGCGAAUGAUUAGGGACCCGGGGGCGCUAUAUUGCCUUCAUCCAUUCUCAAACUUUAAAUAUGUAAGAAGCCCUUGUUACUUAGUUGAACGUGGGCAUUCGAAUGUAUCAACACUAGUGGGCCAUUUUUGGUAAGCAGAACUGGCGAUGCGGGAUGAACCGAACGCGAGGUUAAGGUGCCAGAGUAGACGCUCAUCAGACACCACAAAAGGCGUUAGUACAUCUUGACAGCAGGACGGUGGCCAUGGAAGUCGGAAUCCGCUAAGGACUGUGUAACAACUCACCUGCCGAAUGUACUAGCCCUGAAAAUGGAUGGCGCUCAAGCGUCUCACCCAUACCUCGCCCUCGGGGUAGAAACGAUGCCCCGAGGAGUAGGCGGACGUGGAGGUCGUGACGAAGCCUAG